UCUAAACUGUUAUGUCAAGCUGGAAAUACCUGGAAUUCAUUUUUUCCCCACUUACAGAUAUACCCAACCAAACAUUCAGUGGAAAAAAAGAAUGUGAAGGACAACUCUCAUUCAGCUGUCAAUCAUAUCACUGUAUAAACCAGGUUGGAAUUAAACCACUUCAUUUUCCAGUCACCACUGCUUCAGAGAGAAGAAAUAUAGAAAUGGCAGGAGGAAUCUUAAAGUUACAAGCACAGAGCCUGGUCUCCAUCCUGCUGAUCUCUGAGGUGAAGGAGUCACUGCUUUAGAUAGUGCAAGAACAAGCCUUUUGCAGAACUUUCUAAGCUUCGCAUGUGGCACAAUUCAUCUCCCACUGUACUGUAGCCACUCUGUGUUCACAUUGUAAGA
ensembl:lncRNA